AACUUUGCGACAGAUUAUGGUUCUUAAUUAUACUUCUGUAUAACCAAGUGAAAAGGGAAUUCGGUUUAAAUCCGAAGCUGUUCCCGCAACUGUAAGCUUAGCCAAAAAUUGGUGGUUGUUAUUAGCUUUAAGCCACUGUUCGUUCAGGACGGGAAGGUGAAUAACAAUACGCGAGCCAGGAGACCUGCCAAAAAUCUGUAUAGUUC
rnacentral:ncRNA from 2 species